rnacentral:rRNA from 1 species
GAUGAACGCUGGCGGCGUGCCUAAUACAUGCAAGUCGAGCGAUCGGACGAGAGGCUUGCUUCUCUGAUGUUAGCGGCGGACGGGUGAAUAACACGUGGAUCACCUCCCUAUAAGACGGGGAUAACUUCGGGAAACCGUCGCUAAUACCGUAUAAUAUUUUGAUCCGCAUUGAUCAAUAGUGAAAGACGACCUUUCUGUUACUUAUUGAACGUUCGGCGCUGCAUUAGCUAGUUGGUAAGGUAACGGCUCACCAAGGCAACGAUUCAUAGCCGACCUGAGAGGGUGAUCGGCAACACUGGAACUGAGACACGGUCCAGACUCCUACGGGAGGCAGCAGUAGGGAAUCUUGCGCAAUGGGCGAAAUCCUGACGGGCCAACGCCGCGUGAGUGAUGAAGUUCUUCGGAUCGUAAAACUCGGUGAUUAGGGAAGAACAUAUGUGGAAGUAACUGUGCACAUCGUGACGGUACCUAAUCAGAAAGCCACGGCUAACUACGUG